rnacentral:rRNA from 1 species
GACGAACGCUGGCGGCGUGCUUAACACAUGCAAGUCGAACGGAAGGGCCCUGCUUUUGUGGGGUGCUCGAGUGGCGAACGGGUGAGUAACACGUGAGUAACCUGCCCUUGACUUUGGGAUAACUUCAGGAAACUGGGGCUAAUACCGGAUAGGAGCUCCUGCUGCAUGGUGGGGGUUGGAAAGUUUCGGCGGUUGGGGAUGGACUCGCGGCUUAUCAGCUUGUUGGUGGGGUAGUGGCUUACCAAGGCUUUGACGGAUAGCCGGCCUGAGAGGGUGACCGGCCACAUUGGGACUGAGAUACGGCCCAGACUCCUACGGGAGGCAGCAGUGGGGAAUAUUGCACAAUGGGCGGAAGCCUGAUGCAGCAACGCCGCGUGCGGGAUGACGGCCUUCGGGUUGUAAACCGCUUUCGCCUGUGACGAAGCGUGAGUGACGGUAAUGGGUAAAGAAGCACCGGCUAACUACGUG